GGCCAGAUGACGGAGUGGUUAACGUGCUUGACUCGAAGAUUCGAAAUCAAGUUCCUUCGGGAGCGCAAGUUCAAAUCUUGCUCUGGUCG